CUUAGUUAUUGUUAAAAAUAAAAAAAUAGAAUAAUAAACAAAAAGAAGACUUAAAAAUAUUGUAGAAGAAAUACAUUUAUACAGAAUAUAUACUUUCACAGUCUAUCGAUCACCCGAAUAAAAAGAUACAAUAUUGAUUCGGAAUGCGUCAAAUUGAAAAUUUGCUCGUUGCUCCAAUCAAUUCUUUAUAGAGAUAGUAAUAGAUUAUAAGGAUAAAAUGAUUUCCUUUUUGGUUCCAAACGACUGAGCAUCAUCAUAGGACGAGUUAAGAGAGCGAGUGAAUAUGUGCCUCUUUUCGCAAAUAAUUUAUAAAUAUAUACUGUUUAUAUACAAUUUUUAUGAUAAAAGACAAAGUAAUUUGUAAAAUUUAUAGGUUAAGACCAAAUGGCCUAACUGUUUUCAACAGUCAUUGCUCAUGUGUGUGAAUGUUCCUCUUGUUUUCGCUUAAAAGUUAUAUAUAUAUCUCAGCGACUGAGCAGUGAUGACGUCAUUUUGCGUUAAAAAAAUCACUUUCUAAAUUUUAAACAGUAAUAUGACUUUUAAUCAGUAAAAAUUUGUAUAUUAUUAUUUAAUGUGCAAAUAUCAUAUACAUAUAUAUUUAUAUGUAUAUAUAUUUGCGUAUUAUUCACUUCUAAAUAUAAAUGGAUUGUAAACAGAAUCCCCCCACUAGACGGCAGAGCUUUCCCAUAACGACAAGAUGGCCGACGUUGAAGUGAAUAAGCCAGCAUCUGCUGAAAACGUUACGUCUACGAAUGAGGAAGCCCCAGAAGCUAAAACUGAAGUCACUUCUCAACCCGAUCCUCCUACUGAGCAUGGAAUCACAGAAAACGUUCAGAAAAUAAUAGAAGGAGAGAAACAAGUAAGUACGGAAGAACUUGCUGCUAAAAAGGCUAAAGUCGAUUUGCAAUCAUUGCCGGCUCGUGCCUACUUAGAUCAAACAGUCGUUCCUAUUUUAUUGCAAGGAAUGUCAGCUCUAGUGAAAGAAAGACCUCCGAAUCCAAUUGAAUUUUUGGCCGCUUUUUUGAUGAAAAACAAAAACCAUCAUGACCAAUAACUUUUUGUGGAAAGAUAAUUUAAUAGUGUAAUAUUGUUUUUUUUUUCCUUUAUUUUUGUAGUUUUUUUGUCAAAAAAAAGAGAUAAAAAAGAACAUACUUCAUAUUAUUCUCUUCGUCUCAUAAGUCAUUCAUAAUUAAAUAUUAAGUGUCUUAAUAUAUGUAUAUACAUUUUGAGAUUUUUUUUCUCGUGUCUUCCUCGUUUGCUUCAACAAUGUAUUAAUGUAUUUAAGACAAGUCAAACAAAGAAUUAAAUUUGUUAAAAACAGAACCAAAGCACACUUUACCACACGAUAAGAGAGAUAUAAAUACUGAAAAAUACUGUAUAACAAUAGAAUUAUAUACAUUUACUAUUUAUAAGAGCGUAGUAUAAUUUCAACAGCAAUAGACACAACAUGUAGAUUAUAUAUCAAGUAUAUAGAACAGGUACGAAAUAUGUACAGUAUGUUCUAUAUGCUGUAUUUGUUAUAUAUAGCAGAUUGGUACAACUUCAUAAUCGAACUUACUUAAUCAAAAAGGAAGACAAAAGUGUAAAAGUUCUCUUUGGAAGAAAAUUAAUCGGCUCUAUCGAUCCGAUAAAGAGAUAGCAGUCCGUCUCUCUCUGUCCCUUUCCUACCUCACCCUUCACCUCACUCUUCCUAUCGAAUCGUUUUUUAUUAUUUUCUAUAAAUAUAUCAUACAUGUUGUUCUUUAAUAAAAAAUGUUUUCAACACAUUCUUGAAUUAUCAAUGAAAACGAAAGUACUAAACAUUAAAA
rnacentral:misc_RNA from 1 species